rnacentral:rRNA from 2 species
AAUGCAGUCGAGCGAAUCGAUGGGAGCUUGCUCCCUGAGAUUAGCGGCGGACGGGUGAGUAACACGUGGGCAACCUGCCUAUAAGACUGGGAUAACUUCGGGAAACCGGAGCUAAUACCGGAUACGUUCUUUUCUCGCAUGAGAGAAGAUGGAAAGACGGUUUACGCUGUCACUUAUAGAUGGGCCCGCGGCGCAUUAGCUAGUUGGUGAGGUAAUGGCUCACCAAGGCGACGAUGCGUAGCCGACCUGAGAGGGUGAUCGGCCACACUGGGACUGAGACACGGCCCAGACUCCUACGGGAGGCAGCAGUAGGGAAUCUUCCGCAAUGGACGAAAGUCUGACGGAGCAACGCCGCGUGAACGAAGAAGGCCUUCGGGUCGUAAAGUUCUGUUGUUAGGGAAGAACAAGUACCAGAGUAACUGCUGGUACCUUGACGGUACCUAACCAGAAAGCCACGGCUAACUACGUGCCAGCAGCCGCGGUAAUACGUAGGUGGCAAGCGUUGUCCGGAAUUAUUGGGCGUAAAGCGCGCGCAGGUGGUUCCUUAAGUCUGAUGUGAAAGCCCACGGCUCAACCGUGGAGGGUCAUUGGAAACUGGGGAACUUGAGUGCAGAAGAGGAAAGUGGAAUUCCAAGUGUAGCGGUGAAAUGCGUAGAGAUUUGGAGGAACACCAGUGGCGAAAGCGACUUUCUGGUCUGUAACUGACACUGACGCGCGAAAGCGUGGGGAGCAAACAGAUUAGAUACCCUG